UGCGGGUUUCAGUGUGUCAUCCCGCUGUCAUCGCCAUCCCCCAGCCUGCCAGGCUCUGGGGCGUGCAGGGCCUCUCCUGGGGUCACUUCAGGAGAUGGUUUGUCCCCGGGGUGAAGAACGGGAGGUGAGGGAGAAGGUGUGCAGUGAUGCAAUGCCCAGGUGCCAGGGGACUGCAGUGGGACUUAGUGCCCAUCUCUCUAUAAGUGCUAUUGCAUUUUUCCUUCUGACCCUUUUAAGGUCCUGUGGUGCCAGGACCCACCUGAGCACAGCACAGUCCCUGGGCCAUGAUCCUGUCCUUAGUGGUAGUGAAGCCUGGCGAGGAAUUGUCACUGGCCACACAGUACAAUAACUGAGUUGCAUGAAGCAACUCCUCUUUCUCAGCUUCUUUUUGGAAAUGAAAGCACUUGCUGAUGUACCUACUUAGAAGCCUGUUGUUCUUGUAGAGUUUAAACGUGGAUUUUAAAGCCUUAGUUUUGCAGGAUCUGCCACAGCCAGCGGGAAGUUGAGGAUCCCACUGACAGCAGCAAGAGGGGGUCAUUUGCAGAUUGACAGCUCUUCUGCUCCCUCCAGGAGCCCUGUGUUCAAGCAGUGCUUGCUGUGAGAUAAUGCAGAUUUCUCACCAGGUUAGUAAAUUUUGUAAUCUGCUGGCAGAGGCUUCCCUGGGUGAUGCUCUGUGAAGUGCCAGCUGGGAUAUACAUUUCUCUUGCAAAGGCAGCCCUUGAGCCCCUGCCAGGCUGAAUCAAAACCUCUGACCCAAGCCCAGCUUUUCAUGGACCUCAGCGUGCAUGUGUGUGGUGGUCAGCAGUGGCCCCUUCCCCAGAGACAAACUCAUCAUGCCCUGCCAGAUGGCUGUUGGUGAUUCCUUCCCAUCACAGGUCUUUUGAUGUGUGACCCAAAGAAAGGGAGCAUUAACCCUCUGUGAACAGUGCUGGUCUGCAGCAGUGAAUGCAAUCACUUUCCUGAUAAGAAAAACACCAAUGAUCAAGCAAAAAAGAAAUCCUGACUGCUCGCAGACUGGCUGAGAACUUCACUGAAGGAGAGAAGCCCAAAGAGAUCCUGCUUAUCUAAACAAAACAUGAGCACCCAGCCUCGAUAGCAGGGACCUCUCUGCUGACAUUGAUCCUCCCGAGAGCAAGGAUUCGUGUGUUCUUCAAGGCAGGUAAGAUAUUGCCUCAUCAGCUUAAGAAAAUGGUGCAUUUCCACAGGGGAUCAGAAAACAGCUGUUGGUGACGUCAAGAGCAAGGGGCACAGGAACUUGGUGUGAAUUAUCUUCUGCAUAACAAAGGUCUGUAAUAGGUGGUGCCAGGAUAGCUGUGCGGUAGAGCAGGAAAUUUCACUCACAGCUUUUGUUUGCUUCUCAUAUUGUGUAAAAAAGAAAGGAAAAAAGGGAAAGAGAGCUGAGGAACACCCUGUAAUUUGCUAUUAAUUACUGCUCUUAAGAACCCAGCAUGUGGUUCUCCUGUUAAAGGGCAAGGGACUGGUACAAUCUCAGCUGCUGAUGUGCCCAGGGCCCAGUCCUGGGGCUGAGCUGAGAGGGUACUUUCCACCCCAUCCAAAGAAACCCUGUGUGUUUGGGAGGGUUUUCUCCAUCAUUUCACUAAUCAAAGCUUCUCCUCUUUUGUCCACUCCAUGUUUUAACUGGUACCAGGUUCUUCUAUAGCAUUUUGCAUCUAAUGGGACACCUUUAAAACCACUAACAAACUAGGUGUUACAAGUUCCCUUCUCUGGGGUCUGGAGCAUCUCUCUGAUGAGGAGAGACUGUGGGAGCUGGGCC